UUGUCCUUAGUUACCAGCACGUUAUGGUGGGCACUUUUUCAAGGAGACUGCCGGUGACAACCGGAGGAAGGUGGGGAUGACGUCAAGUCAUCAUGGCCCUUACGGCCUGGGCUACACACGUGCCACAAUGGUCGGUACAAAGGGUUGCCAAGCCGCGAGGUGGAGCUAAUCCCAUAAAACCGAUCGUAGUCCGGAUCGCAGUCUGCAACUCGACUGCGUGAAGUCGGAAUCGCUAGUAAUCGUGAAUCAGAAUGUCACGGUGAAUACGUUCCCGGGCCUU
rnacentral:rRNA from 1 species